GGAAGCUUGGCAGAGCGGUUGAAUGCAUCAGUCUUGAAAACUGACGAGGAUUAACGUCCUCCGUGAGUUCGAAUCUCACAGCUUCCG
rnacentral:tRNA from 1 species